rnacentral:rRNA from 1 species
UAACGUUCCUUUUCCUUCGGGACAGAGGAGACAGGUGGUGCAUGGUUGUCGUCAGCUCGUGUCGUGAGAUGUUGGGUUGAGUCCCGCAACGAGCGCAACCCUUACCUUCAGUAGCCAGCGAGUAAAGUCGGGCACUCUGGAGGGACUGCCAGGGAUAACCUGGAGGAAGGUGGGGAUGACGUCAAAUCAUCAUGCCCCUUAUGAUUUGGGCUACACACGUGCUACAAUGGCGUAAACAAAGGGAAGCGAAGCCGUGAGGUGAAGCAAAUCCCAAAAAUAACGUCUCAGUUCGGAUUGUAGUCUGCAACUCGACUACAUGAAGCUGGAAUCGCUAGUAAUCGCGAAUCAGAAUGUCGCGGUGAAUACGUUCCCGGGUCUUGUACACACCGCCCGUCACACCAUGGGAGUUGGUAACGCCCGAAGUCAGUGACUCAACCGAAAGGGGAGAGCUGCCGAAGGCGGGACUGAUAACUGGGGUGAAGUCGUAACAAGGUAGCCGUAUCGGAAG